CAUUCCUCUCCAGUUGCCUGUUCCAGGCUCCUGAGACAUAUCUCCUGCUCCAGGAGCAGCCUGCACAAACAGCACAAUGAAAAAACAUCGGAGAGUUAGGACUUGGGCACUACAAAGCAAUGUCUAAUUAAAUCUCCUAUUACUAAGCUAUAGCUGACAUGAAGUACCAAUGAGAAGGCGGCUUUUAAAACUCGUAUUCUUCCUGAUAAUGGUAUGAAAAACCUUCACGUAGAGAAGCUCCCCAACAUUGUAAUAGUCUAUAAAUCAAUUCUGAAAUAUGGAAUGGUCUUCCUAAAUCUUUCAGCUUUUACCACACAUCUUUGGAGCAAUAGAACCUACACUAUCAGGAUCAUUCUGAAAAUAUGUUUUGAAGAUCACCACAGCUCUUUUUGGUAUUUUAUUUAAAUAUAAACUGAAGUUUCUUGCAAUAACAGCUAAAAAAAGAAUAAAAUAAAAUAUUACGCACAUUUAUGUUUCCAGGUACUACAGCUAUGAAGGUAUUUGUGCUCCCAGACCUCAAUUUCCAGAAGGGUUUUUUUUUGUACCAAACCAAAUCAAAACAAAACAAAAAUCCCCAUCCUCUGGAAGAUGAGAGUUUCUGGAAAGUUCCAGAUAAAGAAUGACUCACUGAACUCCUAAGAAAAGGAUGUAACACCCAACUAUUAACCAUCAGGAAUCACUGGGUGAAAGAAUUAUUAGCAGAUGGUAUCCACCACAGGAUAAAUUAGUAUUAUUAAAAAAAACCAAAACAAAACAAAAAAACCCCCAAAAACCCAAAACAAAACUUAACAAGCGAGCAAAAAAACCAAUAUCCCCAAACACACAAAACAACAACAACUAAAACCCCCAGUUUAUUUUGAUAUGGAAUAGCGGUAACUUUUAUUCUGUACCUUUCCAUAAGCCUCAUAUCUGUUCUAUUUACUACUGUGCUUUAAAAUCUAUUGUGCAUAUUGCAAAUGUCUGCAAAACAUUCAAGGUCAUUCAAGGCUCUGAACUGCUACUACUUAUGCCUUGUUUCAGAUAUAGGAGGAAAUUAUAUUUAUGUAUUGUGCUUACAGUGAAAACACCACAGGCUAUCUUGAGUCUAAAAAAAAAGGCAAGAAAUGAAGCAUGGCAAAUAGAACACCAACAGUUGCAUACUGGGAGGAAACCCUGCUAAACUCUGCACAUCGAAAUUUUCUUACAACUGUGCAGCUGUUCAGAGGCAGUGUAAAAAAUACACUGUAAGAAUUCAAAUCAACCUCUGCUAAUAAGAGGGAACCACUAGGAGGAAAGCUCCAUUACACUACUUCUGAUUGCAAGACAGCUAUUCGAAAUGGCAAAAAUGCCUAUGCCACUCUCAUUCGGUAUUACUGUGGAGCCUCUGUCUCCAAAGUAGUUUCAGAAACAAAGCUACAAUCUUUCACAAAACAAAGAGUGGUGAGUACAUACUACGUAGUAAAGGACAGUUAUUGUGGGAAACGCAAAUUAAACUAAACUUGGCAGCUUCCUGCAACGUAAGUCACAACAGUAUCCUCAAAGUAGCUCUUGAUUUCUUCUUAAUGUUUGCAGCGUAUCAGAACCUCUAAACUAGGACAAAAGCAACAGUUAAAAUUUUACUACUCACAAGAUUUUGACUUUAACUACUUUGCUCAGGACAGAAAUAGCAGCUUUGCACUAGAAGCUGAAUAUGUACAUGCAAUGAGGCAGAAAGCCCGAGUCCUCUUGGUACUCCUAAUACCCAAACUUGUGACUACCCAUCUUUUCUGACUCCAAGUGAAAGCAAUUAGCAAAAAAAUCUUUACAGUAAUAAGCUGUUAUUUUAACAUGAGAGACAGCACACCUAAAGUGUAAAAAACCACUACAGAACACGUUUCACAAAUAUAAGUAAACCAGAGACUGACCAAUUACAUGAAACAACAAAAAGAAGGUUCAGUUUGAACAAAGCCUAUAAAGAUUCCCUGCAGGAAGCAGGAAACUCACAUUUUUAGCUUAUCUUCUGUUCUCCUUCUUUAACUGUCAACACAUUAAAAACAUGCAGUUUAACAACCAUGCUGAACACUUCUGAUUACAAUACUGUUGUACCAAACAAUCUGUUGACUACAGUCUGAGGCAAAUUAUGCCAGGUACUUGCACCACAAUAUAUUGCAACCAAGAGUUCAAACAGAAAGCAGUGACUUUGCCACCUAAUGGCACAUCUUUACCUGCCACUGGACAUACUAAAAUCAGGAAUGCCAAGUAGUCUAUACUCUGUAGGGCAUACUGUAUCAGUGACAGAGCACUAGAUACAAACUGCUUUCCAUUCUAUCUGUGGUGCACCACAACAUAAAUGUGCAUGCAGUGCUUAUAGGAAAUAAAUCGAGACAGACCUUGCCAUCAGCCUCAGCAGAAGCAGCAGUAACAGUCUCCUGGGAAGCAGGUGUCAAUGCACCUGGAGCUUUAGUAGACUAAGGGAGGUAAAAAAUGCAGGAAGGGGAGGGGAAAAAAAAAAAUUCAACUGACCACCAAAUCUACCUAGCAAAUUUCAUACACUUUUACCUACUAACAUCUUUAAAAAUCCAGAAAAGGAAAUACGUUGAAUUUGAAAGCAAAACAUUAAUAUAAGCAGAACAAAAGAAAAGCAUCUCCAAGACAAAAGUUAAGAGACUUUUGGUUUAUUUAGCCUUCAAUUUCAUUUCAGCUCAUACACUGAUGAUA